GGCCUGGCAGGGCCCAUCACCCUCACGGGUGGUGGUUGCUCGUCGGGCCUUUCCUUCUGGGGAAUCUAUCGCCCUUAACUGGGUGCAUAGAGGAACCAGAACUGUUACCUUGAAAAAAUUAGAGUGUUUAAAGCAGGCAUUUGCUUGAAUACAUUAGCAUGGAAUAAUAGAAUAGGACUUUGGUUCUAUUUUGUUGGUUUCUAGGAUCACCGUA
rnacentral:rRNA from 1 species